rnacentral:rRNA from 1 species
ACCGCAUAAGACCACAGAGCGACAUCGCUUAGGGGUCAAAGGAGUAAUCCGGUAAGGGGUGGGCUCGCGUCCGAUUAGAUAGUUGGUGAGGUAACGGCCCACCAAGUCGACGAUCGGUAGCCGACCUGAGAGGGUGAUCGGCCACAUUGGGACUGAGACACGGCCCAAACUCCUACGGGAGGCAGCAGUGGGGAAUAUUGGGCAAUGGGGGAAACCCUGACCCAGCAACGCCGCGUGAGGGAAGAAGGUUUUCGGAUCGUAAACCUCUGUCCUUGGUGAAGAGAAAGAGACGGUAGCCAAGGAGGAAGCCCCGGCUAACUACGUGCCAGCAGCCGCGGUAAUACGUAGGGGGCGAGCGUUGUCCGGAAUGAUUGGGCGUAAAGGGCGCGUAGGCGGCCCGGUAAGUCUGGAGUGAAAGUCCUGCUUUUAAGGUGGGAAUUGCUUUGGAUACUGUCGGGCUUGAGUGCAGGGGAGGUAAGUGGAAUUCCCAGUGUAGCGGUGAAAUGCGUAGAGAUUGGGAGGAACACCAGUGGCGAAGGCGACUUACUGGACUGUAACUGACGCUGAGGCGCGAAAGUGU